rnacentral:rRNA from 1 species
GGUAGAGAUCUUUCGGGAUCUUGAGAGCGGCGUACGGGUGCGGAACACGUGUGCAACCUGCCUUUAUCUGGGGGAUAGCCUUUCGAAAGGGAGAUUAAUACCCCAUAAUAUAUUGAGUGGCAUCACUUAAUAUUGAAAACUCCGGUGGAUAGAGAUGGGCACGCGCAAGAUUAGAUAGUUGGUGAGGUAACGGCUCACCAAGUCUGCGAUCUUUAGGGGGCCUGAGAGGGUGAUCCCCCACACUGGUACUGAGACACGGACCAGACUCCUACGGGAGGCAGCAGUGAGGAAUAUUGGACAAUGGGUGCAAGCCUGAUCCAGGCAUCCCGCGUGAAGGACGACGGCCCUAUGGGUUGUAAACUUCUUUUGUAUAGGGAUAAACCUAGAUACGUGUAUCUAGCUGAAGGUACUAUACGAAUAAGCACCGGCUAACUCCGUGCCAGCAGCCGCGGUAAUACGGAGGGUGCAAGCGUUAUCCGGAUUUAUUGGGUUUAAAGGGUCCGUAGGCGGAUUUGUAAGUCAGUGGUGAAAUCUCACAGCUUAACUGUGAAACUGCCAUUGAUACUGCAAGUCUUGAGUGUUGUUGAAGUGGCUGGAAUAAGUAGUGUAGCGGUGAAAUGCAUAGAUAUUACUUAGAACACCAAUUGCGAAGGCAGGUUACUAAGCAACAACUGACGCUGAUGGACGAAAGCGUGGGGAGCGAACAGGAUUAGAUACCCUGGUAGUCCACGCCGUAAACGAUGCUAACUCGUUUUUGGGCUUUCGGGUUCAGAGACUAAGCGAAAGUGAUAAGUUAGCCACCUGGGGAGUACGAACGCAAGUUUGAAACUCAAAGGAAUUGACGGGGGCCCGCACAAGCGGUGGAUUAUGUGGGUUUAAUUCGAUGAUACGCGAGGAACCUUACCAAGGCUUUAAAUGGGAAAUGACAGGCUUUAGAAAUAGGCUUUUC